rnacentral:rRNA from 1 species
UACGGGGGGGGCAAGCGUUGUUCGGAAUUACUGGGCGUAAAGGGCUCGUAGGCGGCCAACUAAGUCAGACGUGAAAUCCCCAGGCUCAACCUGGGAACUGCGUCUGAUACUGGUUGGCUUGAAUCCGGGAGAGGGAUGCAGAAUUCCUGGUGUAGCGGUGAAAUGCGCAGAUAUCUGGAGGAAUACCGGUUGCGAAGGCGGCAUCCUGGACCGGCAUUGACGCUGAUGAGCGAAAGCUAGGGGAGCAAACGGG